AUGGUUUAUAAUAGAUUUAAUUUGUUGGUCCUUAAGAAGCUGUAAUUUGUAUUGGGCCACAGACUUUGGUAUUGCAUAUUGGAUCCAAUCUUUUUCACUUGUCAUUUCAUUAAUUAAUAUUCCCAUGCCCACUCCCCCAUCACUCUUCUUUCUUAAUUUGUUGUAACAAAAACUUUAUGGUCGUUCUUCAGGUUUAACAAUUACCCCAUCUCUUACUGCAGGUGUUGAAAGUUUAACUCAGGAUGCUUAGUGGUGUGACCAUAAUUAAGAAUGGGAGAGACGUGGAAUUUGCUGGGUGGUUUGUGAGUCUCUGGGGUCUUUUGUUCUUGCUAGAUAUAUAGUUGUGAGAAGGUGCAACGUCUUCGUUGACCCAUAGAGAUUUUUAAAGCCCACACGCUGUUGCGAGAAGCUGUUUCUGUGAACGCAGGCGCCCAUCGUUGAACUACGUCGGUUGUGAUGCAUGGUAAUUGGAGGGGUUGUUUUGUGCCCUCUUCUUCUCUCCCAAAGAGGGGAAUGGGACUUCUUGUAGUAUUCGAGACUAGUUAUCCUCUACCUUUGUUCGUGAGGAUUGUGUUAUUUGCUACUUUUUCUUUUUUGAAAAGUUAAUUUUAGCGAUAUGAAUAUAUUUAUUCCUACAAGAAUGAAUGUAUUACUUUGAAAUUUGAAUUAAUUGAAAUAC